rnacentral:rRNA from 1 species
UGAGUACAAGAUGCUACGGCAUUGAAGCAGUCUAUGUCAUACUUCCAAGAAAAGCUUGCAAUGUCAUAAACAAAUAAUGCCUGUACCAUAACCGACACAGGUGGGUAGGUAGAGUAUACUAAGGGGCGCGAGAUAACUCUCUCUAAGGAACUCGGCAAAAUGACUCCGUAACUUCGGGAGAAGGAGUACCUUAUUUUAUAAGGUUGCAAUAACAAGGUCCAAGCAACUGUUUACCAAAAACACAGGUCUCCGCUAAGUCGUAAGACGAUGUAUGGGGGCUGACGCCUGCCCAGUGCCAGAAGGUUAAAGAAGUUGGUUAGCAUUAGCGAAGCUGAUAACUGAAGCCCUGGUGAACGGCGGCCGUAACAAUAACGGUCCUAAGGUAGCGAAAUUCCUUGUCGGGUAAGUUCCGACCCGCACGAAAGGCGUAAUGAUUUGGAUACUGUCUCGGAGAGGGGCUCGGUGAAAUAGACUUGUCUGUGAAGAUGCGGACUACCUGCACCUGGACAGAAAGACCCUAUGAAGCUUUACUGUAACUUGAGAUUGAAAUUGGACUUUAUUUGCGCAGUAUAGGUGGGAGACCUCGAAAGUAUUCUUGCGGGAAUAUUGGAGUCAUCAGUGAGAUACCACUCUUAUAAUGUUAGAUUUCUAACUUUGUAUCAUUAUCUGGUCAAAGAACAGUUUCAGGCGGGCAGUUUGACUGGGGCGGUCGCCUCCCAAAUGGUAACGGAGGCGCACAAAGGUUUCCUCUGAACGUGUAGAAAUCGUAUCUAGAGUGUAAAGGCAUAAGGAAGCUUGACUGUGAGACCUACAAGUCGAGCAGGGACGAAAGUCGGUCUUAGUGAUCUGACGGUGCUGAGUGGAAAGGCCGUCACUCAACGGAUAAAAGUUACUCUAGGAUAACAGGCUGAUCUCCCCCAAGAGUUCACAUCGACGGGGAGGUUUGGCACCUCGAUGUCGGCUCAUCGCAUCCUGGGGCGGUAGUACGUCCCAAGGGUUGGGCUGUUCGCCCAUGAAAGCGGUACGCGAGCUGGGUUCAGAACGUCGUGAGACAGUUCGGUCCAUAUCCGGUGUAGGCGUUAGAAUAUUGAGAGGAGCCUUCUUUAGUACGAGAGGACCGAGAAGGACAUACCUCUGGUGUACCAGUUAUCGUGCCAACGGUAAACGCUGGGUAGCUAUGUAUGGAGAGGAUAACCGCUGAAAGCAUCUAAGUGGGAAGCCCACCUCAAGAUAAG